AUUGAACGCUGGCGGCAUGCCUUACACAUGCAAGUCGAACGGUAACAGGUCUUCGGAUGCUGACGAGUGGCGAACGGGUGAGUAAUACAUCGGAACGUGCCCAGACGUGGGGGAUAACGAGGCGAAAGCUUUGCUAAUACCGCAUACGAUCUAAGGAUGAAAGCAGGGGACCGCAAGGCCUUGCGCGUUUGGAGCGGCCGAUGGCAGAUUAGGUAGUUGGUGGGAUAAAAGCUUACCAAGCCGACGAUCUGUAGCUGGUCUGAGAGGACGACCAGCCACACUGGGACUGAGACACGGCCCAGACUCCUACGGGAGGCAGCAGUGGGGAAUUUUGGACAAUGGGCGAAAGCCUGAUCCAGCAAUGCCGCGUGCAGGAUGAAGGCCUGCGGGUUGUAAACUGCUUUUGUACGGAACGAAAAGGCUCUGGCUAAUACCUGGGGCACAGGACGGUACCGUAAGAAUAAGCACCGGCUAACUACGU
rnacentral:rRNA from 1 species